AUUGAACGCUGGCGGCAGGCCUAACACAUGCAAGUCGAGCGGAUGAAGGGGGCUUGCUCCUGUAUUCCGCUGCGGACGGGUGGGUAAUGCCCACGAUGCUUCCUGGUAGCUCGGGAUAACGUCCGGUAACGGGCGCUAAUCCCGCAUCCGGCCAGAGUUAGAACGUGGGGGAUCUUCGGACCCCACGCUGUUAGAUGAUCCUAGGUCGGAUUAGCUAGUUGGUGUGGUAAAGGCCUACCGAGACGACGAUCCGUAACUGGGCUGAGAGGAUGAUCAGGCACACUGGAACUGAGACACGGUCCAGACUCCUACGGGAGGCAGCAGUGGGGAAUAUUGGGCAAUGGGCGAAAGCCUGAUACAGCCAUGCCGCGUGUGUGAAGAAGGUCUUCGGAUUGUAAAGCGCUGUAAGUUGGGAGGAAGGGCAGUAAGUUUAUACCUGACUGUUUUGACGUUACCAAAAGAAUAAGCACCGGCUAACUUCGUG
rnacentral:rRNA from 1 species